GCUUGUCUCAAAGAUUAAGCCAUGCAUGUCUAAGUAUAAACAAUUUUGUACUGUGAAACUGCGAAUGGCUCAUUAUAUCAGUUAUAGUCUACUCGAUAGUACCUUACUACUUGGAUACCCGUAGUAAUUCUAGAGCUAAUACAUGCAUCAACCCCCGACUUUUGAAGGGGUGUAUUUAUUAGAUUGAAACCAAUGCGGGUUCGCCCGGUAUUUGGUGAUUCAUAAUAACUUUCGGAUCGACUUCGGUCGAUGCAUCAUUCAAGUUUCUGCCCUAUCAGCUUUGGAUGGUAGGGUAUUGGCCUACCAUGGC
rnacentral:rRNA from 1 species